UACGUAGGGUGCAAGCGUUAAUCGGAAUUACUGGGCGUAAAGCGUGCGCAGGCGGUUUUGUAAGUCAGAUGUGAAAUCCCCGGGCUUAACCUGGGAACUGCGUUUGAAACUACAAGGCUAGAGUGUGACAGAGGGGGGUGGAAUUCCACGUGUAGCAGUGAAAUGCGUAGAGAUGUGGAGGAACACCGAUGGCGAAGGCAGCCCCCUGGGUUAACACUGACGCUCAGGCACGAAGGCGUGGGGAGCAAACAGG
rnacentral:rRNA from 1 species